rnacentral:rRNA from 1 species
AACGAACGCUGGCGGCAUGCCUAACACAUGCAAGUCGAACGAGACCUUCGGGUCUAGUGGCGCACGGGUGCGUAACGCGUGGGAAUCUGCCCUUGGGUUCGGAAUAACAGUGAGAAAUUACUGCUAAUACCGGAUGAUGUCUUCGGACCAAAGAUUUAUCGCCCAGGGAUGAGCCCGCGUAGGAUUAGCUAGUUGGUGGGAUAAUGGCCUACCAAGGCGACGAUCCUUAGCUGGUCUGAGAGGAUGAUCAGCCACACUGGGACUGAGACACGGCCCAGACUCCUACGGGAGGCAGCAGUGGGGAAUAUUGGACAAUGGGCGCAAGCCUGAUCCAGCAAUGCCGCGUGAGUGAUGAAGGCCUUAGGGUUGUAAAGCUCUUUUACCCGGGAUGAUAAUGACAGUACCGGGAGAAUAAGCUCCGGCUAACUCCGUG